rnacentral:rRNA from 1 species
GGGUUGUGAGGUUAAGCGACUAAGCGUACACGGUGGAUGCCCUGGCAGUCAGAGGCGAUGAAGGACGUGCUAAUCUGCGAUAAGCGUCGGUAAGGUGAUAUGAACCGUUAUAACCGGCGAUUUCCGAAUGGGGAAACCCAGUGUGAUUCGUCACACUAUCAUUAACUGAAUCCAUAGGUUAAUGAGGCGAACCGGGGGAACUGAAACAUCUAAGUACCCCGAGGAAAAGAAAUCAACCGAGAUUCCCCCAGUAGCGGCGAGCGAACGGGGAGCAGCCCAGAGCCUGAAUCAGUGUGUGUGUUAGUGGAAGCGUCUGGAAAGGCGCGCGAUACAGGGUGACAGCCCCGUACACAAAAAUGCACAUGCUGUGAGCUCGAUGAGUAGGGCGGGACACGUGGUAUCCUGUCUGAAUAUGGGGGGACCAUCCUCCAAGGCUAAAUACUCCUGACUGACCGAUAGUGAACCAGUACCGUGAGGGAAAGGCGAAAAGAACCCCGGCGAGGGGAGUGAAAAAGAACCUGAAACCGUGUACGUACAAGCAGUGGGAGCACGCUUAGGCGUGUGACUGCGUACCUUUUGUAUAAUGGGUCAGCGACUUAUAUUCUGUAGCAAGGUUAACCGAAUAGGGGAGCCGAAGGGAAACCGAGUCUUAACUGGGCGUUAAGUUGCAGGGUAUAGACCCGAAACCCGGUGAUCUAGCCAUGGGCAGGUUGAAGGUUGGGUAACACUAACUGGAGGACCGAACCGACUAAUGUUGAAAAAUUAGCGGAUGACUUGUGGCUGGGGGUGAAAGGCCAAUCAAACCGGGAGAUAGCUGGUUCUCCCCGAAAGCUAUUUAGGUAGCGCCUCGUGAAUUCAUCUCCGGGGGUAGAGCACUGUUUCGGCAAGGGGGUCAUCCCGACUUACCAACCCGAUGCAAACUGCGAAUACCGGAGAAUGUUAUCACGGGAGACACACGGCGGGUGCUAACGUCCGUCGUGAAGAGGGAAACAACCCAGACCGCCAGCUAAGGUCCCAAAGUCAUGGUUAAGUGGGAAACGAUGUGGGAAGGCCCAGACAGCCAGGAUGUUGGCUUAGAAGCAGCCAUCAUUUAAAGAAAGCGUAAUAGCUCACUGGUCGAGUCGGCCUGCGCGGAAGAUGUAACGGGGCUAAACCAUGCACCGAAGCUGCGGCAGCGACGCUGAUGCGUUGUUGGGUAGGGGAGCGUUCUGUAAGCCUGUGAAGGUGUACUGUGAGGUAUGCUGGAGGUAUCAGAAGUGCGAAUGCUGACAUAAGUAACGAUAAAGCGGGUGAAAAGCCCGCUCGCCGGAAGACCAAGGGUUCCUGUCCAACGUUAAUCGGGGCAGGGUGAGUCGACCCCUAAGGCGAGGCCGAAAGGCGUAGUCGAUGGGAAACAGGUUAAUAUUCCUGUACUUGGUGUUACUGCGAAGGGGGGACGGAGAAGGCUAUGUUGGCCGGGCGACGGUUGUCCCGGUUUAAGCGUGUAGGCUGGUUUUCCAGGCAAAUCCGGAAAAUCAAGGCUGAGGCGUGAUGACGAGGCACUACGGUGCUGAAGCAACAAAUGCCCUGCUUCCAGGAAAAGCCUCUAAGCAUCAGGUAACAUCAAAUCGUACCCCAAACCGACACAGGUGGUCAGGUAGAGAAUACCAAGGCGCUUGAGAGAACUCGGGUGAAGGAACUAGGCAAAAUGGUGCCGUAACUUCGGGAGAAGGCACGCUGAUAUGUAGGUGAAGUCCCUCGCGGAUGGAGCUGAAAUCAGUCGAAGAUACCAGCUGGCUGCAACUGUUUAUUAAAAACACAGCACUGUGCAAACACGAAAGUGGACGUAUACGGUGUGACGCCUGCCCGGUGCCGGAAGGUUAAUUGAUGGGGUCAGCGCAAGCGAAGCUCUUGAUCGAAGCCCCGGUAAACGGCGGCCGUAACUAUAACGGUCCUAAGGUAGCGAAAUUCCUUGUCGGGUAAGUUCCGACCUGCACGAAUGGCGUAAUGAUGGCCAGGCUGUCUCCACCCGAGACUCAGUGAAAUUGAACUCGCUGUGAAGAUGCAGUGUACCCGCGGCAAGACGGAAAGACCCCGUGAACCUUUACUAUAGCUUGACACUGAACAUUGAGCCUUGAUGUGUAGGAUAGGUGGGAGGCUUUGAAGUGUGGACGCCAGUCUGCAUGGAGCCGACCUUGAAAUACCACCCUUUAAUGUUUGAUGUUCUAACGUGGACCCGUAAUCCGGGUUGCGGACAGUGUCUGGUGGGUAGUUUGACUGGGGCGGUCUCCUCCUAAAGAGUAACGGAGGAGCACGAAGGUUGGCUAAUCCUGGUCGGACAUCAGGAGGUUAGUGCAAUGGCAUAAGCCAGCUUGACUGCGAGCGUGACGGCGCGAGCAGGUGCGAAAGCAGGUCAUAGUGAUCCGGUGGUUCUGAAUGGAAGGGCCAUCGCUCAACGGAUAAAAGGUACUCCGGGGAUAACAGGCUGAUACCGCCCAAGAGUUCAUAUCGACGGCGGUGUUUGGCACCUCGAUGUCGGCUCAUCACAUCCUGGGGCUGAAGUAGGUCCCAAGGGUAUGGCUGUUCGCCAUUUAAAGUGGUACGCGAGCUGGGUUUAGAACGUCGUGAGACAGUUCGGUCCCUAUCUGCCGUGGGCGCUGGAGAACUGAGGGGGGCUGCUCCUAGUACGAGAGGACCGGAGUGGACGCAUCACUGGUGUUCGGGUUGUCAUGCCAAUGGCACUGCCCGGUAGCUAAAUGCGGAAGAGAUAAGUGCUGAAAGCAUCUAAGCACGAAACUUGCCCCGAGAUGAGUUCUCCCUGACUCCUUGAGAGUCCUGAAGGAACGUUGAAGACGACGACGUUGAUAGGC